AGUUCUACCUCGUCCUUAUGGUUAUGUGGAGACUAUGGCUGAUGCACAUAAGAUGUCAAUUGCAUGGCCAUACAAAAGAUUGAAGGUUACCAAAGGAUCACAAUCUACCCAAGGUGUGAGGUCUUAGAGGUGGCAUGAUGGUUGAUCAUGUAAGCAACAAGGGGAUCAGCGCUCAUGGACACUUAUUUUGGGCAGUGCUUAUGGGCAUUUUUAUUUUGGGUAGUGCUCAUUUGGAAUAUCUAGGUUGGCUUCUAUUAUUUUGUAAAUGUGGGCA